AUAUAAAUAAAUUGAACUUAAUACCUAAAAUCCAUAAUAAUACCAAACGUACCAAUCUUUAAAAACAUUGACACUGGACGAGUUAAUGACAUGGUUCAGUAAACUGUUCCACAAGGUGACAAUUCUGUUGCUAAAAAAAAUCUUUCUGA